rnacentral:rRNA from 1 species
CCGMGAAUGGCUCAUUACAACAGCCGUUGUUUCUUGGAUCUUGAUAUACUUGGAUAACUGUGGUAAUUCUAGAGCUAAUACAUGCAACCAAGCUCUGACCUUACGGAAGGAGCGCAUUUAUUAGACCAAGACCAAUCAGGCUCGUCCUGUAAUCUGGUGACUCUGAAUAACUUUGCUGAUCACACGAUCUAGCAUCGGKGACAUAUCUUUCAAGUGUCUGCCCUAUCAACUUUCGAUGGUAGUUUAUGUGCCUACCAUGGUGGUAACGGGUAACGGAGAAUAAGGGUUCGACUCCGGAGAGGGAGCCUGAGAAAUGGCUACCACAUCCAAGGAAGGCAGCAGGCGCGCAAAUUACCCACUCUCAGUACGAGGAGGUAGUGACGAAAAAUAACGAGACGGUUCUCUAUGAGGCCCGUCAUCGGAAUGGGUACAAUUUA